rnacentral:rRNA from 1 species
AGAGUUUGAUCCUGGCUCAGGAUGAACGCUGACAGAAUGCUUAACACAUGCAAGUCGAUGGGGAAGGCUGAGCUUGCUUAGCUGGUAACCAUGGCGGACGGGUGAGUAACGCGUAAGGAACUUACCUGCGGGACUGGGAUAACGGAGGGAAACUUCUGACAAGACCGGAUAAAGUUACUGAGCAGCAUUGUUUGGUAAUGAAAGGAGACGCCUGCGGAGAGUCUUGCGUCCUAUUAGCUAGUUGGUUGGGUAACGGCUGACCAAGGCGAAGAUAGGUAGCCGGCCUGAGAGGGUGGACGGCCACAAGGGGACUGAGAUACGGCCCUUACUCCUACGGGAGGCAGCAGUGGGGAAUAUUGGACAAUGGGGGCAACCCUGAUCCAGCAAUUCUGUGUGCACGAAGAAGGUUUUCGGAUUGUAAAGUGCUUUCAGCAGGGAAGAAGAAAGUGACGGUACCUGCAGAAGAAGCGACGGCUAAAUACGUGCCAGCAGCCGCGGUAAUACGUAUGUCGCAAGCGUUAUCCGGAAUUAUUGGGCAUAAAGGGCAUCUAGGCGGCCUAACAAGUCAGGGGUGAAAACCUGCGGCUCAACCGCAGGCUUGCCUUUGAAACUGUAAGGCUGGAGUACCGGAGAGGUGGACGGAACUGCACGAGUAGAGGUGAAAUUCGUAGAUAUGUGCAGGAAUGCCGAUGAUGAAGAUAGUCCACUGGACGGAAACUGACGCUGAAGUGCGAAAGCCGGGGGAGCGAACAGGAUUAGAUACCCUGGUAGUCCCGGCCGUAAACGAUGAUUACUGGGUGUGGGCAGGAAGACUGUCUGUGCCGAAGCGAAUGCGAUAAGUAAUCCGCCUGGGGAGUACGGCCGCAAGGCUGAAACUCAAAGGAAUUGACGGGGACCCGCACAAGCGGUGGAGCAUGUGGUUUAAUUCGACGCAACGCGAGGAACCUUACCAGCGUUUGACAUCUUAGGAAUGAGACAGAGAUGUUUCAGUGUCCCUUCGGGGAAACCUAAAGACAGGUGGUGCAUGGCUGUCGUCAGCUCGUGUCGUGAGAUGUUGGGUUAAGUCCCGCAACGA